UCUUGUGAUGAAAGCAUUGUCCAGUUCUGCUACUGAAGGAAAGGGAUGAAUGCUUUUUGUGCUGAAGAA
ensembl:snoRNA Snord38a small nucleolar RNA, C/D box 38A